CCGGCGACCGGCGGACGGGUGCGUAACGCGUAUGUAACCUACCUUUGACAGGGGGAUAACAUCGAGAAAUUGGUACUAAUACCCCAUAACAUCACCGGAGGCAUCUUCGGUGGUUGAAAACUCAGGUGGUCAGAGAUGGAUAUGCGUUGUAUUAGCUAGUUGGUGAGGUAACGGCUCACCAAGGCGACGAUACAUAGGGGGACUGAGAGGUCAACCCCCCACAUUGGUACUGAGACACGGACCAAACUCCUACGGGAGGCAGCAG
rnacentral:rRNA from 1 species